AUAUAAAUCACCUGAGGACCUUGUUUAAAUGCAGAUUCUGAAUCAGUAGAUCUGGGAUGAGGCCUGAGAGUCUGUAUAUUUAGCAAGCUCCCAGGUGAUGCUGAU
rnacentral:pre_miRNA from 1 species